rnacentral:sRNA from 1 species
AGCUCGUCCUGACUUGCCUGGGCUAGCCAGGCCUCAUCGAACCAUUCUUUCUUUUUAGACGAGGGCAAUCUGUUCAUGUCAACCUCUCUCGAAACUCCUCGCGGACACGCCACACCUCUUAGUUAGUGAUGGGGGGGGUGGAUGGCGUAGUGGUAACCUUGGAAGUGCUGUUCAUGGAAUGCUUUCUCAAGUAGGCACUUGGUGUUGGGGCCAAGAAGAUAGUGGGUUUGAAUCCCAUCUUCUCCAAAAGGAUAUUAUCACAUCUUGGUGGAUAUUGGGGGUAUCCUUUCUUAGCUCAUUUCUAUUGGUAACUGUCACUACAG